rnacentral:rRNA from 1 species
AGAUUAAGUUAUUAAGGGCGCACGGUGGAUGCCUUGGCACUAGAAGCCGAUGAAGGACGUUACUAACGACGAUAUGCUUUGGGGAGCUGUAAGUAAGCUUUGAUCCAGAGAUUUCCGAAUGGGGAAACCCAGCAUGAGUUAUGUCAUGUUAUCGAUAUGUGAAUACAUAGCAUAUCAGAAGGCACACCCGGAGAACUGAAACAUCUUAGUACCCGGAGGAAGAGAAAGAAAAUUCGAUUCCCUUAGUAGCGGCGAGCGAAACGGGAAGAGCCCAAACCAACAAGCUUGCUUGUUGGGGUUGUAGGACACUCUAUACGGAGUUACAAAGGACGACAUUAGACGAAUCAUCUGGAAAGAUGAAUCAAAGAAGGUAAUAAUCCUGUAGUCGAAAAUGUUGUCUCUCUUGAGUGGAUCCUGAGUACGACGGAGCACGUGAAAUUCCGUCGGAAUCUGGGAGGACCAUCUCCUAAGGCUAAAUACUCUCUAGUGACCGAUAGUGAACCAGUACCGUGAGGGAAAGGUGAAAAGCACCCCGGAAGGGGAGUGAAAUAGAACCUGAAACCGUGUGCUUACAAGUAGUCAGAGCCCGUUAAUGGGUGAUGGCGUGCCUUUUGUAGAAUGAACCGGCGAGUUACGAUUUGAUGCAAGGUUAAGCAGUAAAUGUGGAGCCGUAGCGAAAGCGAGUCUGAAUAGGGCGUUUAGUAUUUG